rnacentral:rRNA from 1 species
UACGGAGGAUGCAAGCGUUAUCCGGAUUCAUUGGGUUUAAAGGGUGCGUAGGCGGAAAUGUAAGUCAGUGGUGAAAUCCUGCAGCUUAACUGUAGAAUAGCCGUUGAAACUGUGUUUCUUGAGUACAUUUGAGGUAGGCGGAAUGUGGUGUGUAGCGGUGAAAUGCAUAGAUAUACCACAGAACACCGAUUGCGAAGGCAGCUUACUAAACUGUCACUGACGCUGAUGCACGAAAGCGUGGGGAUCAAACAGGA